GCGAUUUGUGACGGUUAAGGCGGAAGUCUGGAGGGUAACUGUUGCUUGUCUACUUGGAAGAAUUGAUAGGUCGUCUAUUAUAAAAGGAAACACAAACUUCAUAUCAUCACUAUUUCAUUUGAAGUCGUCAAUAUACAAGCAUCAUGAAAAUCUCAGCUCUUGCCUUUUUCGCCCUUGUCGGAGUUAUCGGUGUUGCCCUCGGUGCCGGGUACGGAUACGGCGGUUAUUCUGGCGGGUACACCUACAUGCCAGUAUCUGGUUACGGUCAGCAAGGAGCCGGCGGGUUCGGAGAUGGUUCUUUCUUGAUGCUGAUCGGAUUCUUGUUCCUGAUCUUGAUCUUGUUCAACAGCAACCUGUUCAACACCACCUCAACAGCUACUACCACACCCAUCACCAUCCUCCAGGGUUAAAUAUGAUUUAGUAAAAGACCAGCAGCACUUAAGCCGAACAUCUAUAUUUCCACUACCCUUUCUAUGGAGAUAUUCCAGCUGUGAUGUGAUUGGUCAAUUUAUAAUACUUUCUGUGAUAUCUAAGUUAUUUAUCAUUAAUGUUAUAUUGAUGCGUUUUAUUCCAAAACACUGCAAUAAAAUCUUAAAAGAAAAUAA